AUUGAACGCUGGCGGCAUGCCUUACACAUGCAAGUCGAACGGCAGCACGGGUGCUUGCACCUGGUGGCGAGUGGCGAACGGGUGAGUAAUACAUCGGAACAUGUCCUGUAGUGGGGGAUAGCCCGGCGAAAGCCGGAUUAAUACCGCAUACGAUCUACGGAUGAAAGCGGGGGACCUUCGGGCCUCGCGCUAUAGGGUUGGCCGAUGGCUGCUUAGCUAGUUGGGGGGGUAGAGUCAUACCAAGGCGGCGAUCAGUAGCUGGUCUGAGGGGACGACCAGCCAGCCGGGGAGUGAGGCGCGGCCGAGACUCCGAGGGGGGGCAGCGGUGGGGAAUUUUGGGCGAUGGGGGAGUGGCUGAUCCAGCAAUGCGGGGUGUGUGAAGAAGGCGUUCGGGUUGGAGAGCACUGUUGGCCGGAGAGAAGUCCUUGGCCCUAGUACGGUCGGGGGAUGACGGUACCGGAAGAAUAAGCACCGGCUAACUACGUG
rnacentral:rRNA from 1 species